CAGAAGACUGGACUGGGCAACAGGAGUGUGUGCAGGCAGAAGCACGUAGCCUUGGCGGAAUCAUCUUGGGAAAUCGACUGUCUGCUGGAUUAUUUUUCUUUGGGUUGGAACGCUGCUGAGGGAACUGACCAGAGAUUCAAACAUUGGAUCCAACGGGUACAGCUUCUGGACUUUGACUGGCUUCUAUUGCCUGUCUGCAGUGAUUCACAUUGGUUUCUCUUGACUCCUAACUAAAUUCAUCAAGGAGAGAGGAGUACCUGUUACAUUGGAGAAUGCUUAUGAGGCAUGGCAGUCAGGUCACAUGUGAGAGUCUUGAAGAGUGGACAGCAGACAGAAUAGAUGUCACCAUGCAAGAGGAUGGAAAUAGCUGUGGCAUGUUUCUC